UCACCAGAAACAAAUGAACUCUGGCUUGACGAGGUACCAAUCUGCGCCAGGCUCGUAUUUUUGUGGUUUCCUAGACAGGGAACUCUGCGAAGAGCUCCUUAAUAGGCCAACAAGCCCUGAAACAGAAAGAAUUUUCGCAAGAUUUCUGGCCAAUUCUGGUGGCAAAACAGAGAACAUGUCAAACCAAAACUUCGGAGUAAUUAAGCAAGAUUCUCCAGUGAGAGAAGCAGUGGCACAAGUUAAUCAGCAAGCUCAGCUUAUGGCUUCAGUGAAUAAUAAUGAUGCGAGGUUGCAUCAACAACAACAUCAGCAGCAGCUGCUGCGGCAACAGAGCAAUUAUUCCUCCUCUUCACGGAGUUUUUAUCAAAACCAAUCAAGACCAC
rnacentral:misc_RNA from 1 species